rnacentral:rRNA from 1 species
GGUCAUGCCUGCCCAGUGAAAAUCAUUUUUUAACGGCCGCGGUAUUCUAACCGUGCAAAGGUAGCGUAAUCACUUGUCUUCUAAAUAAAGACCAGUAUGAACGGCUAAAUGAGGGCACUCCUGUCUCUUAUAACCAAUCAGUGAAACUGCUCUCUCAGUAAAAACCCUGAGAUAAACACACAAGACGAGAAGACCCUGUGGAGCUUAAAACCUAGAACCACUGAACGAAAGCCCCUGGUCCCCGGUUUUUAGUUGGGGCGACUUUGGAAUCAAACUAACACCCAAACACAGAGCCAGCAACUCUCGCCAAGGCCUACAAGCCGAGGCCAACCAAAAGACCCAGUAAAACUGACCAAUGAACCAAGUUACCCCAGGGAUAACAGCGCUAUCUUCUUCAAGAGUCCAUAUCGACAAGAAGGUUUACGACCUCGAUGUUGGAUCAGGACACCCAAAUGGUGCAGCCGCUAUUAACGGUUCGUUUGUUCAACGAUU